GACGGAGGAUGCAAGCGUUAUCCGGAAUGAUUGGGCGUAAAGCGUCCGCAGGUGGCAGUUCAAGUCUGCUGUCAAAGACCGGGGCUUAACUUCGGAAAGGCAGUGGAAACUGAACAGCUAGAGUAUGGUAGGGGCAGAGGGAAUUCCUGGUGUAGCGGUGAAAUGCGUAGAGAUCAGGAAGAACAUCGGUGGCGAAGGCGGGUCUCUGGGCCGAUACUGACGCUGAGGUGCGAAAGCGUGGGGAGCAAACAGG
rnacentral:rRNA from 1 species